AUUCCAUGUUAGUUCUUCUUGGAAAUCUCUGCACCUUACUGGUCAAGCAAAGUGACGAUAUAGGCCAGUAUCAAUCGGGUUCACAUGUAGCAGCAACAAGCCAUAGAUAUGUAUGUAUCUCCCUAGGAUUGUUUAACCGGAGAGUCAUUUUUAAAAUGCAUUGUAUCAGAUGUCCAUCUGACCCUUUAUUAAUCCCAUAAAAUAUUAGAGUUCUCUGAAAGUUACAGGUAGCAGUGCAGGUCGGUUUGGAAUCCGACUAAAUGACUUUUAUGUUUGAAACAAGGCUGUGUGGCUACACUGGAUAAAACACUUAAGUAUUUCUGCACUCCUGGUUUUAUGUCUUUUAUGCCACUGUCACGUUUUAAAAUCAGACAGAGCUUCCUAUAUACGUCUCUUGGAGGUCGGCCACAUCCUAACUAUACGCCCUGGAGAAUCUCUGCCAUUUCCAAAGUCGUUCAGUGGGGCUUUGCUCUUGCCAGCUUUCAAGGUUGGCCACAUGCUUCGGAGCCAGUAAUGAAUGUGAACGAUGCCCUGUUUAAGGAUCACAAAUGCAAGUUGAGAAGAAGGAGAUCCAUAUUGCCAACGAUAAAAGGCAGACCGUGCAGGCACCAGGCGCUGAGC
rnacentral:lncRNA from 1 species